rnacentral:misc_RNA from 1 species
UGUGGGAAAAAGCAGUCGCGAGAGCUUCCACGGUAGGCGCGUGUCGCAGACCAAUCGGCCGCUAUAUGCUGUCACCAUACCGACUAGGACUCUGACUCGGACGGUGGAGGAAGCUGGUAGCAUUAGGGGAAGCGCUUAUCAGCACCCUAUCACUUUUAGAACACGAUUCACACACAGAGACCACGAUGCACAAUUAGCUGCUGGUAAACAGUCCCAUGCCAGCUAUCACACAUCUCACUUUACGCAGUUUUUUUGCAGAGCCAGAAAAUGCGCGAAGAAAGGCAGAUCCACCGGUUGAGGUCCCGUACUAGAUCAACGGUUUUCUUCUCUUACGAUAUUUUCAUUUCGAAUUAAGAUGAACUGAUCACUCCUAAAUGCAAGCGUGAUCCAAUAGAUGCGCUCGGACCAGAUCUAAGGCCCAAGUAGCCCCCAGUUCAUUCAGUUCCUCGAUCGCUCUUCUUGCGCGCGCAUGCGAUUACGCCUUUCUUUCAAGUAAAGCACCCAUUUGC